UGAAGACUCCUGUCACUUGUCAGCAGACUUGACUUUCAGUAAACAGUUGGUGUCUAUGAAAAUCUAACUGUCUUGUUAAAGAGAGUGAUUUCUGCAUUUGGCAUUUGAAAGACUAUGGAGGAGGCUUGAGUGGCAUUCCCACCAUGUUUCCUGAGCACAGAGGACAGCUUUGCAAAGACACUGCUUGGAAGUGGACUGCGCAGGCUUCUUAGGUUUGAGUAGUCAUAGUUUUAAUGAAUGAUAUCUUUGUUGUGUAGACAGAUUACUGCAGCAGGUUGACAAAGAGUUCUGAUGAGUUCUGAGUGUGUGUGUGUGUGUCAGAGAGAGAGAGAGAGAGAGAGAGAGAGAGAGAGAGAGAGAGAGAGAGAGAGAGAGAGAGAGAGAGAGAGAUAUUUUACCUCUCCUACUCUUUGAGGUCUAUGAGAAGAGGGCAAUACCUUCCAAAAGGUAAGAACUCAUUUUAAAGAAAGACAUAUGUAGCCAUCUUCUGGGACCUGCCAGUCUUGGAGAGAGAGAAGAUCCAGAAUUCUAUAAGCCGCAAACACACUGUAUUAGAGCAGGCUGAGAUCAGAUGGCUGGGGAGAAAUACAGAUGGAUGGAGUUAAGUAUGGGCGAAAUCAACGUUUCCAGAUGCACAGGGUGGACUAAGGGUGCUGUUCUUUUUGAUGAAGAGCAAGGACAAGAAGCAUCUCUUGUGAAUCACUAGGCAGGUGUUUGCUCUCUGGGGAAGUGACAGGAAACUCAUCCCUGACCCGAGGUUACUGGGAGGAAAGAGCUUCUUUUGGUUUUGUUUCUCUGCUUGGUGUACAAGUCAGUGCCCUGUCUAGGGAAGAAGAACGCAGAUGAUCCUUGGAUGUCCCCAAGGGAAGAAUGACCACUCUAUUACAGAAUUAAGGUCAUCUAGAGAUCCUGUUUCCUAUUGCACAUGAAUAUGGAAUUUGGUAACAGAAUAAACAUGACAUUUGGAAUGUUCCUAGAGCAUACUUAGGGCAACUGGCAAGGCUGACAUAGCUUUUACUGAUCUGUCUGUUUAGUGAGUGGACAGGAUGCCAGUCUGGCAGUUUGCAUUGGCAAUAAAUCACUACUAGACAAGAGAGAGAGAGAGAGAGAGAGAGAGAGAGAGAGAGAGGUCACUCCAACAAUAAAGUUAAGUAUUGAGCUGGUUUGUUCCUGCCUUUGCCAUCCUCCACCUCAUGUCUUUUCUUCUUCUCUUCCUCUGGUUUUCUGCCUUUAUUUUUGUCUUGGAUUGCCCCUUUUUUAAAGGAUAAAUUGUGAUCAAUGUCUCGCAGUUUUGAGUGAAAAAAUAUUUCACGGUAGGCACUGGAAAUGUUCUUCGGUGUAGAGUUACUGCCUAGCAAGCAUGAAAUUUAGCUUCAAUCAUAGUGCUCACACACAUGCAUACACAUGUGCGAGAAUGCAUACACACUUAUGUGCACAUGCAUGCAUACGCAAGGAGAAGUUUAGACUCUUACAGCUACUGCAGUGGCAGAAGUUAGGGCUCCUUUUCCACUCUCAGCAAUUGUGAGAUUUUCUGAAUAUUGUGUAAGGCUGAAUAGUAUCACUGUGUAGCUUUUUUAGUUUUUUCAUUGUGAACAUAUGAGCUACUCCCCCUGCCCCCUAGGAAAAUCAUAUUUCAAGUACACCGACUUACUAAGACACCAGUCUUCUUGUCUUCAUUUGCAUGUAAUAUUUACAAACCUUAAUUAGUCUCCACCUUGUUACUGUGCAAACUCUUAGGAUCACUUAGAUAUAGCUUUGUGAAUAGCUUCAUUUGUUCAUUUAUUAGAAAUAUAUAAUUUACUCAUUAAGCUACAAAUAUUUAAAUGACCCCGACUUGGCUUUCAAAGAGCAUUUCACCUCUUUUCCUUGAUUUUAUAUGUAUAGUUUUCAUAAUAGUAUAUAGCUAAAAGUAGGAAAAAUAUAGACUGGUAUCUUCUUGGUAAAAUCAUUUGAAGUGAUGUAAUGGUCAAAUGCAAAGGAAGGCACCAUUUUAAUGCUGUACUGAAGACACUCCUGGUAUUCAGGACAUUUGUACCUAAAGAUACCUGGUAUUAAAUACUCA
rnacentral:lncRNA from 1 species